rnacentral:rRNA from 1 species
GUGCCAGCCGCCGCGGUAAUACGUAGGUGGCAAGCGUUGUCCGGAUUUAUUGGGCGUAAAGCGAGCGCAGGCGGUUUUUAAGUCUGAUGUGAAAGCCUUCGGCUCAACCGAAGAAGUGCAUCGGAAACUGGGAAACUUGAGUGCAGAAGAGGACAGUGGAACUCCAUGUGUAGCGGUGAAAUGCGUAGAUAUAUGGAAGAACACCAGUGGCGAAGGCGGCUGUCUGGUCUGUAACUGACGCUGAGGCUCGAAAGCAUGGGUAGCAAACAGGAUUAGAUACCCUGGUAGUCCAUGCCGUAAACGAUGAGUGCUAGGUGUUGGAGGGUUUCCGCCCUUCAGUGCCGCAGCUAACGCAUUAAGCACUCCGCCUGGGGAGUACGAUCGCAAGAUUGAAACUCAAAGGAAUUGACGGGGGCCCGCACAAGCGGUGGAGCAUGUGGGUUAAUUCGAAGCAACGCGAAGAACCUUACCAGGUCUUGACAUCUUCUGAAAAUCUUAGAGAUAAGACGUUCCCUUCGGGGACAGAAUGACAGGUGGUGCAUGGUUGUCGUCAGCUCGUGUCGUGAGAUGUUGGGUUAAGUCCCGCAACGAGCGCAACCCUUAUUACUAGUUGCCAGCAUUUAGUUGGGCACUCUAGUGAGACUGCCGGUGACAAACCGGAGGAAGGUGGGGACGACGUCAAAUCAUCAUGCCCCUUAUGACCUGGGCUACACACGUGCUACAAUGGAUGGUACAACGAGUCGCAAAACCGCGAGGUUAAGCUAAUCUCUUAAAACCAUUCUCAGUUCGGAUUGUAGGCUGCAACUCGCCUACAUGAAGCCGGAAUCGCUAGUAAUCGCGGAUCAGCAUGCCGCGGUGAAUACGUUCCCGGGCCUUGUACACACCGCCCGU